AGGAAGAAACAAGCUCCAGGGCUGGAAGUUCGUCUCUAGGGGAGGAAGUUCCCUGGAGUCUGCGGCAGAUGGGGGAGGCCCCAGUGGGGCGCACGUGGAUGCAUUUCUGGGAGGAAACCAUGUACCAUCCGCUCUCGCUCGCUGCCAUCCAGUGUUUUCUUCCCCCACUGCUGGCAUGGAGCUGAGCACUGCAGGGGAGAAUUCAGGCCUCGGGUUUCUCAACUGGAAAAUGGGAAUUUUAAAAAAUCCAUGCCUAACCCCCAAGGCUGUGCCGAGAACCAAUUAAGGCAAAAGCUGUGAAAGCACUUUCCAAAUGAGGAAGCCUCUUGUCCUUCACCUCCUUCUGAUGGCAGAUCCCCAGCCUCCUUCCCGAGGUUCCUGCCCUCCCCGCGCCAUAUGCACAUGAUCACUGAUUCCAAGAUGGGAUCCUGAGGACUGCAGAUGCCUUCCCACCUUCCUGUCAUGAAGAACCGUGGCACGUCACCAUUUAAAACCCAAACAAAGACUCAUGAGUGAACAAACUAAACAGAGGCAGAAUAAUGCAGUGACUAAGAGCUCUGGCAAGAGAGAAAAAUCAAGUUUCCAAAUUCCAGUUCUUCCACUUACUACCAGUGUUAACUUUGAAU